CUGAUCCGCGAGCGCCGGGUGGUAGGGACAGAUGUUGGAGACAGGGAGAAGACAGACAUUAACCAAAAGCGAAGAACACAGCUGGAGACCUGGAGAACUCCUAGUGAAUUCUGCCUCCAGCUCUGUGUGAACUCGGUCAGAUCUGUCAGUGCCCUCUAACCAAAGACCGCCAGGGACACACUGAGAGGUGAACAAGCUGGGUGUGUUAUGGGUUGCAGUGAGGGAGGACACACACCAUGAGGAACCGUCGGGGCAUCUCAGUUAGAGUUGUGAGGUUAUCCGGGAGAGGGUUUAAGGAAGUGAGGCUUUACUCUGGAUUAGAUGCUGUCAGGAAGUGGGGGUAAUUCUCUGAUUGGGCAUCUCCAGAAUUCUUGCCUGAAAGGAGGGAACACUAGACUGAGACUGAAACUGUAGUUGGUAAAGAAGCUGAAGCCCCUCAUUAGCCAGCAUAGGGGAUGUUUGCUCAUUUUUUGUGGUUUGGACAAUGUUCAUGUUGUAUCUGUGUUCAGAUAUAAUUAAGGAUUGGUCUUGUUUUUUGUCUUGAUCUAUCACGGUCACCGAAUGGCCUCGUCUGAUGUUUGUAUUCUAUGAAAUUAUGUUCCACAGAGGCCAGGCUGUCAUCUAGUAACAUUACAGCCCAGCUGAUUGUGCCAGGCCAGCUUCCAAAUGUCAGAAGCUGCUUUCCCUUUCUCAAGUGUUUUGAGUUUUCUGCACCUGUAAAUUGAGGGAACUGGAUGACCUAGAAAUCUUUCCAUUUCCAAGGACCAAGUUCUGACAGUAAUUUGUAUGCAUGCAGGACACAGUGUAAGUUCUGUGCAGGUAGAGUUUGAAGUUUCAUUGUCCUUAUCUAGUGCUUUCCACCAAGGAAACUGAAAAAGAAGUGAUAGGAAGGAGGAGCACAGAAUUGGAAAGUUACUACCACUGACUUGCUAUCUGAAUUUUGCAAGACCCCUUCCCUUUUCUGGGCCUUGGGACAUUCAUUAGUAAAACAAAGGGGUUGGAAUAAACGACCUCUGUUUCAGUUACCUAUUGCAUCAUAAUAAAUCACCCCAAGACUUAGUAGCUUAAAAUAAAAGUGGUUUAUUAUUUUUUACAAUUGUGUGAGUUGACCGGAC
rnacentral:lncRNA from 1 species